AGUAAAGAAAGCAGCUUGCCAACUUGUUCAUCCAAUUGCUCUAAAUAAUCUCUUUCCAGGAAUCAAGUGAUUCAAGAGGCAGGGACUGUUGCUUCUUCAUUUCACUGUCUAAAGGAACCAUAUGUUACCAUUCUUAUUCAGAGGGGAACACUCCUGAGGAUCUUGAUUAAAGGCAACUCAUGCCACCAACGGUAUUUCUAUGAUCUACCUACUAUGGAGCUGAAAAGUAAAGAUGGAAAUAAGCCUAUCUACAAACAGGAUGCUCUCUAUCAAGAGUCAUGAGAAUUGUCUUCAGAGGGUGCUGAAGAGACAUCAACCUGUCUUCUUUGAGACUCCUAGUGUUGGUGUGGAAGAUGCUACUGGAGACAACAGGUUCCUCCAGGCCUGAUUGCUUGGUCAAUUGUGAAUCACCUUUGAUGAAACAUACUCCGGCAUAAGAUGAGCCAGCGUGUGGCACCUGGCAUUUCAUUAAACAAUUGCACUGACUUAGAGGAUGCCCAGGAACCCAGACCACUACAUACACCAAAUCUCUUUUCUGAAAAUCCAUGGAGAAAUUUUUCCAGAGCUCACGCUGGCCCCAAACAAGGGGCUCCAAAGGGUUAUGGAAAACGACCUGGAGAGUUAGAUAUGCUGACAACGAAGGAUAUCCAGGAUUCCUUGUGGAGCGAAAAAAGGAAAAUGCACAGGAUGAACAACAUGAUCUCAUUUGUGUAAAAGCAAAACAAGAAAGCACCUAUGUAACUGUGAGAAAGCUGUUUUUAUCUGUCCAGUGUGUCUCUCUCCCAAGCCCUAUCUCCUUUCUGAUCCUGUCUUCUUGCCUAUGGGGAACCUUGUAUGUUUUGGAG
rnacentral:lncRNA from 1 species